AAACAGAGUUGAGCCCAAAAAAAGAUGAUCAUCGGCCUUGGGGGUGAAAGCCCUGCAAUAGGGUGUAGGAAGCAGUGGGCGCAGAACUAUUGAAACCAAGCCCGACUCAUUGUCAGCUAGAGGAGCAGAGGGUGAGAAAUGCAUUCAAGGAACAGAGCUGACACACCCCUUCAAUGAUACGCGUGGAAUCAAAAUACGUCAAUGAAAAAGUCUAAAAUCAACUUGAACUGGUCCAAACGAAGGUAACCAGCCAAGAACCCUAACGCACCAAAGUCCAACUAACUAGUGUCAAGGCAUGGAUCUUCAUGAAAACCAUGGGGUUAAUGCUGCUAAGGAUUCCUACUACAUGUUGGUGGUCGAUGCUGAAGCAAACGGAGGAAAUUUUGUUUACCUCCGAAACGGAGAAAUAUUUCGGCGAGUAUUGAUCGGAGGAGACGAGAUGCGGACGAACCAGGCUUUAUCAACCAGAAAAGUUCAGAGUAUUAUGUUAAAUCAACUUCAGGUCAAAUCGGAAUCGAGCUUGCUCAUGCUUUCCCCUGGAAACAAUCUACUUAAGAAUUUUAUUGCCAGCUUUUGAAUUGAUCCUGCCAUGUUUUGAAAGACUCGAAUAUUUUAUCCCAACUUCUGUUAGGUUUGAAUUUGAGGCUAGUUUGGAAGCAAACUUGAGGUUAAUUGAUUGAGAUUAAAGUCAGUUUGGGAAUGAACUGGUUUGUCAAUUUGGUUUGAAUUUAUAAUACACUUGCAGGUCAUUUAGGUUGAUUGGAAGUGAACAUGAAGUUAAUUUUUGAACUUAAAAGUUGACUGCAUUACUGAGUUGUGGGCUGCGACUUGAUAAACUCAUCUGGGUAUUUUUGCAAUGUAAAACUAGUAGGGAAAAUUCAUUGAGUUGAACUGAAUCCGUCUGGAAUUUCUCUUUGCGGUUUCCUGAGUUUUUGUUAACGCAUAUUCUGACUUGGCUUGCUAGUUAUGCAAGGUUCAUGACCAUGGUUUGAAGACUGGCUCAUAGUCUACUCAUGCUUCUUCCUUUUAGCACUUAAUGCAGGAAAAUGUACUAAUGUUUGUAGAAUCAAGGACCUCUGGUUUGGUCCAUGCUACCAUGAGUCAUAUGAUUUUGAGUUAGGCCUUAGUUCAAUUGAAUACACCCAUGUAAUGUGUGAUGUAUUGUUGGUCUGAAUGUCACAUGAUGCAUGAUAGUAAUGGUCAUGUUUGGACUUGGCUUAACUUAACAAGAACAUCAAGGUGAUAAAGGAAAAGCAAAGUGAAAUCAAGGCAUGAUCAACUUGAAAAGGGAUUUCUUGCUCAUAACAAUGAUGGAAACUCAUGGAAUUAUGAAGAUGUAAUGAGACUCAGGUUUUAGGGGAAAAAAGUAAUGGUUGACUUUGAUCAACUGGUAGACCAAAAAGUUAACAAUUGACCAAAAGUCAAUAGUUGACCAAAAGUCAACUUUUCAAAAAAGUAAUUUUUAUUUAUUUCUCUCUUUGUAAUGAACAUUGUAUUCUAAUGCAUGAAUGAAUCAUCAAUUGUUUGAGUGAAA